UGCCAAGAGGAGCAAAUCCAAAGGCUCCAAGAGGCUAUUGAGCGACAACAGGCGGCGAUGACGCAGGCUGGUGCCGUACCUUCUGCGCCCCCUGUCACGGUCGAGGGUUUAGCGGUGGAGCCGGUUGCGGCUGUGCCAGUUACAGUGGUGCCGGCCAGAUCGAAAACCUCAAAUCCCGAUAGUGCGGCAGUAGAGGCGGAGCGGGAGCACACGUUGGCAGCUCUCUUACAGUUUAAGAAGUUUGACCCUCUUACCUUCGAAGGCGGUUUGGUGGAGCCAGCGGUUGUGGA
rnacentral:lncRNA from 1 species